UGAGUAACACGUAUCCAACCUGCCGUCUACUCUUGGACAGCCUUCUGAAAGGAAGAUUAAUACAAGAUGGCAUCAUGAGUCCACAUGUUCACAUGAUUAAAGGUAUUCCGGUAGACGAUGGGGAUGCGUUCCAUUAGAUAGUAGGCGGGGUAACGGCCCACCUAGUCUUCGAUGGAUGGGGGUUCUGAGAGGAGGGUCCCCCACAUUGGAACUGAGACACGGUCCAA
rnacentral:rRNA from 1 species